GAUGAACGCUGGCGGCGUGCCUAAUACAUGCCAGUCGAGCGAACGGACGAGAAGCUUGCUUCUCUGAUGUUAGCGGCGGACGGGUGAGUAACACGUGGAUAACCUACCUAUAAGACUGGGAUAACUUCGGGAAACCGGAGCUAAUACCGGAUAAUAUUUUGAACCGCAUGGUUCAAAAGUGAAAGACAGUCUUGCUGUCACUUAUAGAUGGAUCCGCGCUGCAUUAGCUAGUUGGUAAGGUAACGGCUUACCAAGGCAACGAUGCAUGGCCGACCUGAGAGGGUGAUCGGCCACACUGGAACUGAGACACGGUCCAGACUCCUACGGGAGGCAGCAGUAGGGAAUCUUCCGCAAUGGGCGAAAGCCUGACGGAGCAACGCCGCGUGAGUGAUGAAGGUCUUCGGAUCGUAAAACUCUGUUAUUAGGGAAGAACAUAUGUGUAAGUAACUGUGCACAUCUUGACGGUACCUAAUCAGAAAGCCACGGCUAACUACGUG
rnacentral:rRNA from 1 species